UACGGGGGGGCAAGGCGUUGUUCGGAAUUACUGGGCGUAAAGGGCUCGGUAGGCGGCCAACUAAGUCAUACGUGAAAAUCCCUCGGGCUUAACCGGGGAACUGCGUCUGAUACUGGAUGGCUUGAGUUCGGGAGAGGGAUGGCGGAAUUCCAGGUGUAGCGGAUGAAAUGCGUAGAUAUCUGGAGGAACACCGGUGGCGAAAGGCGGCCAUCC
rnacentral:rRNA from 1 species